UACGUAGGGACCAAGCGUUGUUCGGAUUUACUGGGCGUAAAGGGCGCGUAGGCGGCAAUUCAAGUCAGCUGUGAAAUCUCCGGGCUUAACUCGGAACGGUCAGCUGAUACUGCUUUGCUAGAGUGCAGAAGGGGCAAUCGGAAUUCUUGGUGUAGCGGUGAAAUGCGUAGAUAUCAAGAGGAACACCUGCGGCGAAGGCGGGUUGCUGGGCCGACACUGACGCUGAUGCGCGAAAGCUAGGGGAGCGAACAGG
rnacentral:rRNA from 1 species